AGAGUUUGAUCCUGGCUCAGAAUGAACGCUGGCGGCAUGGAUUAGGCAUGCAAGUCGAACGAAGCCUUCGGGCUUAGUGGCGAAAGGGUGAGUAACGCGUGAGUAACCUGCCUUGAGGUUCGGGAUAGCCCGGGGAAACCCGGAUUAAUACCGGAUGUGGCGGACUGGUUUUAUCUGGUCUUAGCUAAAGAUUUAUCGCCUCAAGAUGGGCUCGCGUCCGAUUAGCUAGUUGGUGAGGUAACGGCUCACCAAGGCAGCGACCGGUAGCUGGUCUGAGAGGAUGGUCAGCCACACUGGGACUGAGACACUGCCCAGACUCCUACGGGAGGCUGCAGUCGAGAAUCUUCCGCAAUGCGCGAAAGCGUGACGGAGCGAUGCCGCGUGAGGGAUGACGGCCUUCGGGUUGUAAACCUCUGUCACCCGGGAUGAAUUUUGACAGUACCGGGAGAGGAAGCCACGGCUAACUACGUGCCAGCAGCCGCGGUAAUACGUAGGUGGCGAGCGUUAUUCGGAUUUAUUGGGCGUAAAGGGUCCGCAGGGUGAGGAAAGUCUGAUGUGAAAUGCUAGGGCUCAACCUUAGACGUGCAUUGGAAACUUCUUCACUAGAGUAUCGGAGAGGAAAGCAGAAUUCCUGGUGUAGCGGUGGAAUGCGUAGAUAUCAGGAGGAAUACCGAUGGCGAAGGCAGCUUUCUGGACAUAACUGACCCUCAUGGACGAAAGUAGGGGUAGCAAACAGGAUUAGAUACCCUGGUAGUCCCUACCGUAAACGUUGUACACUAGGUGUUGGGGGAUUUGACCCCCUCAGCGCCCCAGCUAACGCGAUAAGUGUACCGCCUGGGGAGUACGGCCGCAAGGUUAAAACUCAAAGGAAUUGACGGGGGCCCGCACAAGCGGUGGAGCAUGUGGCUUAAUUCGAGGCUACGCGAAGAACCUUACCUGGGCUUGACAUAUAGAUGCCAGGCCGUGAAAGCGGUUUUUCCUCUUCGAGGAUGUCUAUACAGGUGCUGCAUGGCUGUCGUCAGCUCGUGUCGUGAGAUGUUCGGUUAAGUCCGGCAACGAGCGCAACCCGUGUCGUCAGUUGCCAGCAGGUAAAGCUGGGGACUCUGGCGAGACUGCCCGUGUCAAGCGGGAGGAAGGCGCGGAUGACGUCAAGUCCGUAUGGCCCUUACGCCCAGGGCUGCACACGUGCUACAAUGGCUGGUACAAUGGGCUGCAACGCUGCGAAGCGUAGCUAAUCCCUAAAACCAGUCCCAGUUCGGAUUGCAGUCUGCAACUCGACUGCAUGAAGCCGGAAUCGCUAGUAAAGGCGUAUCAGCAACGACGCCUUGAAUACGUUCCCGGGCCUUGUACACACCGCCCGUCACAUCAUGGAAGCUGGAUGCACCCGAAGUCGUUGACCCAACUUUUCGAAGAGGGAGGCGCCGAAGGUGUGCUCAGUGACUGGGAUGAAGUCGUAACAAGGUA
rnacentral:rRNA from 1 species